GGUAUCAGGCACAAUUAAUUAUAGCCCACGACACCUUGCUUUGCCACACCCUCAAGGGAACUCAGCAGUGAUAGACAUUAAGCCAUAAGUGAAAACUUGACUUAGUUAAAGCUAAGAGGGCCGGUUAAACUCGUGCCAGCCACCGCGGUUAUACGAGAGGCCCAAGUCGAUAGUCAACGGCGUAAAGAGUGGUUAGAAGGAACCCCUUACUAAAGCCGAACGCCCUCAAAGCUGUUAUACGCAUACGAAGGUGAGAAGCUCAUCCACGAAAGUGGCUUUAUAACCUUGAACCCACGAAAGCUAUGGUACAAACUGGGAUUAGAUACCCCACUAUGCUUAGCCUUAAACAUUGACAACAACAUACACCUGUUGUCCGCCUGGGAACUACGAGCAUUAGCUUGAAACCCAAAGGACUUGGCGGUGCUUUAGAUCCACCUAGAGGAGCCUGUUCUAGAACCGAUAACCCCCGUUCAACCUCACCCUUCUUUGUUUCCCCCGCCUAUAUACCGCCGUCGUCAGCUUACCCUGUGAAGGACUUAUAGUAAGCAAAAUUGGUAUAACCCUAAACGCCAGGUCGAGGUGUAGCGUAUGGAAGGGGAAGAAAUGGGCUACAUUCUCUAAUACAGAGAAUACGAAUGAUGUACUGAAAUACACAUCUGAAGGAGGAUUUAGCAGUAAGCAGGAAAUAGAGUGUCCCGCUGAAAUCGGCCCUGAAGCGCGCACACACCGCCCGUCACUCUCCCCAAACUAAUUAAAAUCAAUUAAAUAAAAACCCAUCACAGUGAAGGGGAGGCAAGUCGUAACAUGGUAAGUGUACCGGAAGGUGCACUUGGAAAAAU
rnacentral:ncRNA from 1 species